UCGCUUUGGCAGCAUGUAUACAAAAAUUCUAAUGAUACAGAGAAGAUUAGCAUGGCCCCCACACAAGUAUGACAUGCAGAUUUGUAAAGCAUCACAUACUGUA